rnacentral:rRNA from 1 species
UGGGGAAUUUUGGACAAUGGGUGAAAGCCUGAUCCAGCAAUGCCGCGUGUGUGAAGAAGGCCUUCGGGUUGUAAAGCACUUUUGUCCGGAAAGAAAUCCUUGGCUCUAAUACAGUCGGGGGAUGACGGUACCGGAAGAAUAAGCACCGGCUAACUACGUGCCAGCAGCCGCGGUAAUACGUAGGGUGCAAGCGUUAAUCGGAAUUACUGGGCGUAAAGCGUGCGCAGGCGGUUUGCUAAGACCGAUGUGAAAUCCCCGGGCUCAACCUGGGAACUGCAUUGGUGACUGGCAGGCUAGAGUAUGGCAGAGGGGGGUAGAAUUCCACGUGUAGCAGUGAAAUGCGUAGAGAUGUGGAGGAAUACCGAUGGCGAAGGCAGCCCCCUGGGCCAAUACUGACGCUCAUGCACGAAAGCGUGGGGAGCAAACAGGAUUAGAUACCCCUGGUAGUCCACGCCCUAAAACGAUGUCAACUAGUUGUUGGGGAUUCAUUUCCUUAGUAACGUAGCUAACGCGUGAAGUUGACCGCCUGGGGAGUACGGUCGC